rfam:Methylobacterium radiotolerans JCM 2831, complete genome.
AACCGUUCCGAGGGGGGCCCUGCAGAGGGCUGAGAUUGGGCACGCUGCCCUGACCCUUGAACCUGAUCCGGCUCAUACCGGCGGAGGGACGGGAACCUGCGGUCGC